rnacentral:lncRNA from 1 species
AGGGCUGGAGAACAAAUUGGAAGAGGACAACCUGAAGUGACUCCCACUGGUCAAAAAUGGGACAAUCUGAACAUUGUUAAGACUAACCACAAUGGAUUGAAACAUAAAUAUACCCCCCUUUUUUUCUUCCAGAGAGGAAAUGGGGAGAGGCAGAGAGAGAGAGGGAGAAAGAGAAUCUUAAGCAGGCUCCUUGCUCAGCAAAGAGCUCAACUUGGGGCUUGUUCUCACAACCCUGAGAUCAUGACCCAAGUUAAAAUCAAGAGUAAGACGCUUCACCAACCAAACCACCCAGACACCUGAAACAUAAAUAUGGCUUAAUAUAUAAAUUUAUAAUGAGGGAUGCCUGGGUGGCUCAGUGAUUGGGUGGCUGCCUUUGGCUCAGGUCAUGAUCCCGGGAUCUGGGAUCGAAUCCUACAUCAGGGUCCUGCGGAGAGCCUGCUUCUCCCUCUGCCUAUGUCUCUGCCUCUCUCUCUCUCUCUGUGUCUCUCAUGAAGAAAUAACUAAAUCUUUAAAAAAUUACAUUUAUAAUGAUACUUUUUUAAAAACUUCAUUUUUCAUGAAGGAUGCUAGGAAACUAACACAUAAUUUUGAAAACUGAUAAAUAAAGGAAACAAAUUAGUAAUUUACUCAACAUAUCAAAUGUAACUUAGAGACCUAAUUUGAAAUUGUGUUGCAAUAUAUACUGAUAUAUAUCUGUUUUUGUGUGUGUAUUAAAUAAUUUCAACAUUAGAUUUAAUUUUUUUACAAAGGAAAUUUAAAAAUAUUAUGGGCCUGUACUAAGAGAUCAAGAGUCAUAUGCUCUACCAAUUGAGCCAGCUAGGCAAUCCUUGAUCCAGUUUUUAAAGGAAGUAGUGAAAAUUGUGCUUAGGAAUUAAAUUGGGUCACUGAGUAUGUAUUUUUCAAAAUAUUGUGAAAAUAAUUGAGUAGCGAAUAUAAAACUCUUGUUUUCCAACUUGAAACAUGUUGACUAUAAACUGGGACAGUAGCCACAUGAAUUUUUUAAAUCAGAUAUGAGAUUAAAAUAUUUUUUCCUGGGGCACCUGGGUGGCUCAGUUGGUUAAGCAUCUGACUCUUGAUUUUGGCUCAGAUCAGGACCUCAGAGUCAUGAGAUCGAGCCCCACAUUGGGUGUUGCACUUAGCACAGGGUCUGCUUGUCCCUGUCUCUCUCUGCUCCUCCAUACUCUCCCUCUCUUAAAAAUAAAUACAUAAAUCUUAAAAAAUACGUAUUUCUUCCUGACCCACACUUCUGUGAUUUCAGAGGGCUUGCCCAAAUGGCAUGUGUCAGUACCUUGAAUAGUUUGAAACUCUCCAGGGCAAAAUUAUUAAAAAGUUUAAUACUGAAAAUAAUAUAUCAAGACAAAUAAUAAUGCAAAGAAGGCUUAAUCAUUAUGAGACUGAGUCAUAUAUAUCUUUAUUCACUCAUCUCCACCCAGAAAAAAUAAUCUAAUGCAUACUCAUUUUACUUUGAAUACCUUUGUUAGAGUGUUUAUCACAUUGUACCAGAUAUUUUAGGGUAUUGACAUCUCUCAGUGGGAUGGUGCAUUCCUUGAGGCCUAGCAAUUGUGGUCUUCCCUAACAGAGAGGUAUGGUAGUAAAUCUGGGAUUUUUUUUUAAUAAAUUUCAAAUAAUAAUAAAAUAUAAAAUACUGUAUGGCAAAAUCCAUAUAACAAGUUGAUUCUCACAGAAUGCUUCAGUUGAUUUUACCAAAUUCUUGUGUCUGUAACCCUAUCUGCAGAUAACCUAUAGUUGAAAUUGUUUAAGAAUGUAGUUCUGACAUAAAUGGCCAUUGAUACUUUUAAGUAAAUGAGUUAGAUGAAAAUGAAAAAAGAAACUUUACUUUUUCAUCAGUGAUAUGAGUAACUUCUUGCUAACUUGUUAAUAGUUUUCAAAUAUUAGAAGAUUAUUAUUUUGGGGCACCUGGCUGGCUCGGUUGGUAGUGUGUGACUCUUGAUCUCAGAGUGGUGAGUUCAAGCCACAUGCUGCGAAUGGAGCUUACUUAAAAAAAAACAAAUAAAAAUAAAAA